AUGGCCAGAGGGCACUGCUCUCCUGAUACCCCAUCUGGAGCGAUGCAUCCAGCUCUGGUGUCCCCAGCAUAAGAAGGAUGGAGGCCUGCUGAAGUGAGCCCAAAGGAGGCCACAAAGGUGAUCAGAGGGCUGCAGCACCUCUGCUGUGAAGACAGGACAGGUUGACAGAGUGAGGGUUGUUCUGCCUGGAUACAAGCAAGGUCCAGGGAGACCACAGAGUGUCUUCCUAAAGGAGCAGCACCUAAAGGAGACCUAAAAGCGAGCUGGAGAGGAACUUUUCACAAUGAAAAAGAACUCAGACUGACAGUUUGAGGAAGACAGAGACAGUUGCAAUGACAGCCUGGAAAGGAAGAAAAAUGAACAUUAACCAUAAGAUCAGAGGAACUGACUGUAGCCUUUUAAAAACAAAUGCAGAAGGUGCCUGUUGCAUUCCACAUUCAUUCAGCAAUAUGCAAUCCACAACAUGUAAGCUUUCA